rnacentral:rRNA from 1 species
UAACGAAUCUUCCGCAAUGGGCGCAAGCCUGACGGAGCAAUGCCGCGUGUGGGAUGAAGCGUCUCUGACGUGUAAACCACUGUCAGGGGUUAGAAACAAUGAUCAACCCCAAAGGAAGUGGCGACUAACUCUGUGCCAGCAGUCGCGGUAAUACAGAGGCCACAAGCGUUAGUCGGAAUCACUGGGCUUAAAGGGUGCGUAGGCUGGUCCGCAAGCGUCUUGUGAAAGCCCUCGGCUCAACCGAGGAACAGCAGGGCGAACUGCGGAUCUUGAGGCAGGUAGGGGUCGCGAGAACAGUAGGUGGAGCGGUGAAAUGCGUAGAUAUCUACUGGAAUGCCGAUGGUGAAGACGCGCGACUGGGCCUGUCCUGACGCUGAGGCACGAAAGCGUGGGGAGCAAACGGGAUUAGAUACCCCAGUAGUCCCUGAGCGGGCUGGCAAGGCGCAU